AUAUGAUGUAUGCUCAUAGCUGUAAUGUUGGAUUUGCCAUUUGAUACAAUGAAAAUAAGCCACCAUUCUGCAGGCACGUCAUUUGUCAGUAGCAUAGUUUGUAAAGAAAACUUCAGGCAGUGUUUGUACCGAGAGUGACUUCUGCACUCUGUCAUGGCUCUGAAGCAUGUGUGAAUAUGAUACGAAUGCUGCAUACUUCACAUUCAGUCUGAGGUCAUUAAUUCAACGCGCAGAUGACAAAUUGGCAGGCAGCUAUCGAUUGUCAGUAAUAAGUAAGGCUCCAGGGAAAGAGUCAAAACAGAAUCCAAGUGUUAUUUUCUCCUCAUCGAUUAGUUUGCCUUAUAUGUCAAGCGCUAUCGUUUUUCUCUUUAGUUUUCAUAACAUGUUCUAAUGUGUUACACUGGAACAACUGCUGCUUACUUUCCAUUUUAGAGAGGCCAAAUUGUAAGUGAUCUUAAAUAUGUUGGUUGUAGUCCCCGCAGGUUGUUUAUGUUUGGGAAGAUGUUGUCCUUAACAGCAUUACAGGAUCGAGAGCAAGCAUGAAGUCACCAUCCUCAGUGGACUCAAUGAAUUUGUAGUGAAGUUUUUCGGACAACAAGGAACUCCGUACGAGGGAGGCGUGUGGAAGGUGCGAGUAGAUCUUCCUGACAAAUAUCCUUUCAAAUCGCCAUCAAUAGGAUUCAUGAACAAGAUUUUUCAUCCCAACAUUGACGAAGCGUAAGUUGAUUUUAGCCCUAAAUCUGAAGUGUCUAACACCCAUUUGAACCUUGUGUAUUAAAUCUUAUGAGGUCUGCCCGUUGUGAUGUCAUGCAGGCCUACCUUAUUGUCAACUAAAACCUUUGCUGAAUGUGUUCAUAUUUCCUAAUGUGUUUUACAGUAUUUUCAUGGGUUAGCUUCUAUGACUUGAACAGAUCAGCUAAUGUUAUGUUAUCAGCCACCAGUUUUUUCACCAUCGGCAGCAAAUCACACCAAUAUAGAAAUGGGUCAAGAUCUUUUGUGAGUAAUCCACUGCUUAAGAGGCCAGAUCCCCUGAAGGACAGUGGGUGUUUCUCAAUGUUGAGUAAAGCUGCUCCAAAGCCACUAUU